GAACAGUGUGCCCGGCACUGGGCUGGGCUUUGCACACCUCUUUCACUAGAGGACCACACCCACUCAAAGCAGGUGCUGUUAUUCUCUAGCAGGAGAGAAAGGGGCUGAGAGAGGCUCUAGCACUUGCGGGUAGCCACACCGAAGAGCUGGAGCUAGACUUGGAAGCAGGUCAGCCUGGCCCAUGGCUGUGCCCCAGCCCCAGGCGGGCAGAGCCAGGCCCUAGGGGGAGGAGGCAGUCUUGCCAGGCCUGAGGCCCAGCCUGUCCUCCCCGCGGAGCCGCCUCCUCCCCUGGGCUGCGUGACAUCUGCCCCGCUUCCCGGCCCCAGACAGCUGCCCAGAGCCACGUCAGCACUUCCAACCGGGGAGUCUGGAAACUGGCUCAGGCCCCUGAGCGAGAAGGGGACAGGGGGCUGCGGGUCCUCCGACGGGAUGGUUUUCAGAGGGUGACCCACUCAGCUGAGCAGGGAAUGGGUCGGCAUGACCUUGGGCCGAGCUUCUAUGAACCUCAGUUUCCCGUGCUCGGGUGUGUGUUUGGCUUUGCGAAGUGCUCAGAAAGACGGUAGCAUCCUGGGUGGAGGAGGCGCAAAUAAUCCCACACAGCAACAGUUCCAGGACACCCGGGGCAGCCUGCGGACUCCCCCCGACGCCCCCCCAACCCGUCCACUCGGGGACAAGUGGUUAUUAGGUGGGGCUCAGGAGGGUGAGGGUGGGGGGCGAGGUGGUGUCUGUGCCGGGAGCCCAGUCCCAGCACACCGGCCGGCUGGGGCCAGAGAUAACCGGCGCCUCCCGGAAAAUCAUUAGCAUCUGUUUGGGCCGCGGCAAAGUUGGCCUGCUGGCGCCUCCGCCCGCCGGAAACAGCCCCGCGCCCCCACCAGGGCAAGCGCAGGGCGCACCCGACACAGCGUCCCUCCCCAUACCCGGCCCAGCUUAAACUCCUGUGGUGACAACAUCCACCAGCGCUGGGAAGGGGGCUUGGGUGCAGAGGCCUAGGGCGGGCAGGCCGGCAGACUGGGGUCGGGCCACGCCAUCGGGG
rnacentral:lncRNA from 10 species